UUGACAAAAAAAAUUCCGAGAAAAGGUGCGGUCGUGUGGGGAUAUGUGGACGGAAAAUGUGGUGCUUGUAGGAUCGAGUCAUGCCGAGUCUAGGCAUAAGUGAUUAUGGGACCGGAGAACGGUCAGGAACCUGAUUUAGCCAAUCGGAUAAUCACAUAGGAUGCUACGGAUCAUAGCCCGGUUGGGGCGCCCGUAGGAACUCGCAGUGAAGGGGGUUCGUAAUGGCUCUCCCCGGGGACAUGCGGUAUGAACAAGGAGGUCGAGGAGUAUAAAUCUGGUGGUGUCAUUUUUUGGGUUUGGUUUUCUUUAAGUUAUUAUGAAUUCAAAGACUAUUUCUUCGUGUUUCUCAUUUUUGCUAAUUCUAAGCUUAUGUAAAACAGUGGAUCUAAUGAAAUAAAUGAGGUUUUGGAUUCAAUAGAGUGUUGUUGAGGUUUAAGUAUGAGUUUUGGGGACACGGCCCUUACGUUUUGACUAUAUUUUGUGGUGAUUGCUGAGUUUGAGGUAUACUUGCAGAUUUGUCUUUUUGAUAAUAGUCACUUGCAUUAUUUUGAUUACUUUUAUAGGAAAUCAUUGCUCAACCUGAUAGAGAAAAUCAUGGAAUUCAAAAACCUUGAGGAGGGAAUAAAGUUAUAUUGUGUUCAACGGGCCGGUACACAAAAGCCUAUGUUAAUUACAGGGCGGGACUGGCCAUGCCCUAACCGGACAGUGGACCAAAUGGACGACACCCAUAGACCCGUUCGAACUGAUAAUCGCUGCACAACAGGACGGAACAGGACAGGUAAUCCUGUUUGCCAUCUCUACAUAUAAGUAUAUAACUAACUAUAACUAACUAUACUAUUCUAUUCUUAAAUGUUGGUAAACCGUCCAAAGAUUAAAGAAAAACAAGAAUUAAAUGUAAAGAAUCUUUGAGUAUUUACACUAUAUAAAAUUAGAAGCGGCAUGGGAAGCUUGUGGUAUAUAUCUGGCAAUAUUCGUAAAAGUAAAAUAUUUUCUAUAUUCGAACUUCUUUCUAACUUAUCUUAUUUCUAUAGUUGUCUCCCUUCUUAAAUGAUAGGUUAUUAGGAUAGUAUAUGUGAUGUCCUUUUCUCGGAAAUACAACGUAUCUUAGAUUCAUCAUUAUUUCCCACAGCUAAAUGGUCUAGUUCACACCUGAAAGACCCAAAACGACCAUUUUCACCAUGACUCAAAUGACGAAUUUUAAUAGAGUACUACAUUUUUAACUACUUAAAACUAUCUUAUUAUUAAAGUUUGGACAUAUACACAUCUCACUAAGAAAAUUAAAGAUCCCUUAUAAUUCUGUUACAUUAUAUAUCCUGUUUAAUCAUUUUACUCCUAAUAUAAUAAUAAAAAUUAACCAGCAGGGAAUAUUCAUCAAUUAUCCAAACAUUUACAA